GGUCCCUGGCUCGGCUCUACCCCCAUGGAUCUAGGUGGGCUCAAUGUCAUCACAAGGGUGCUUAAGAGGGAAAGAGGAAGCCAUGAGGGUCAGAGUCAAAGGAAGACUUGAAGAUACUACACUGCGGACUUUAAAGAUGAAGGAAGGGGCGAAAACCAAGAAUGUGGGAAGCCUCUAGAAGCUAGAGAAGGCAAGGAAACAAAUUUUCCACUAGAGCCUCCAGAAGGAACACAGCCCUGCUGACCCACUGUAAUGUCUGACCUCUAGAUGUGUAAGGGUAGUAAGACUGAAAGUCUCAGAAAGGCACUGUUAAAUUCUUAUUCCUCAACUAUGCAACUCAAAACUGGGGUCCUCAGCAGUGAGCGAGGGGUGAGAGAAGACACUGUAUAAACAUGGCACAUCCUCCUGGAAAGUCAACUUUACUCAAAGGUAAAUAAUUUAACAUAUUUUUCUUUUUAAAACACACAUGGAUGUAUUAUGAAGGAGAAUGCAAAUUUUGCAUGAAUUUUUAAGAAUAGGUGUGGAUUAUUCAACCACUUUCUUAUUGCAGCUUUAGAAACCCAGCUCAAACUAGCUGAAGCAGAAAAGACAUUACUGCGCCUAUAAGUUGAAACUUUGGAGGGAUAAAUUUCAGAGGUGUGGCUAGAUCCAACGGCUCUCUGGAAAACUCUGUGAAAAAAAUGCUUCCUCAAGUCCAGAAACCAGAAGCUCAGGAAAUUGUUGCUUGGUUCCUCUUGUUAGAGGCAGAGAUUAUUCAACGACCUACAGGGUAGCGUUUGAACAUUGUUACCAGGAAUCUUUACUUUGCCAUCUUCCAAGUCUGUUCUCCUCAGUAUUGGUUUCAUUUACAAGCAGGCCAUCUCUGCCCUCAUGGCAAUGAUGGUCUUUACUCCAGGCUUAAGACCCUUACUAUCUACUAUUUCCAAAGCGGAGAGAGAACUUCCCACACCUAGUGACCUGUGACACAGGAUUUUAUCCUUCGUACAGAGGGAAUUCAGUUGGCUAACAUAAUCUGCCUUCCAAUGGAGUAAGAAUGUCUGGACUCUUUCCUUCACCUACCCCCAAGACAUGGAGGCGUCUAAAAGAUAAAUAAAACUUGGCAACUGACCGAAGGAGGAAGAGGGGAUUUCAGGCAAAAUCAACGCUGUUCACUACGAGGAGACUUCAGAAAGGUUGCCUGCUUCUGGGGAGCAUAGUCCCUGAUUCCUCAAGACAUACGUUUAUUCUUUUCUUCAAUGUCUUUGCCUGCAGUCAAAACAAAACCAUUACCUUUAGCCAAGUUCACACAUUUCAGCCAAAUCCAUAUGCAUCGGAUCAGUUCUGUAGGUUAUGGGUGAGCAUGAACAUAUAAAAGAGGCACCUGCCUGUGCCUAUCUACUCCAUGGAAUUUCAAAAGGGGCCACUUAUGGAGAAUGUCUUUAGGGACAGAACCAACCACCCUGUCUUUCCUCCAACUCUCAAAGUAACUUCUGGCUUUAAUCCUCAAGUGUCUAUGCUGGAGUUUAAGAAAAAUGUUUUUCA
rnacentral:lncRNA from 10 species